rnacentral:SRP_RNA from 1 species
GAUCCUAUCAUAUUUAUCAACGUUUGAGACUACCUCAUACCAUAUCUUCGUACUUCAUUACUAGAUAUACGUAGGUAGAUUUAGUGCGGAAGUAACGAACAGGGUACUGCGUGAGGCCGGUUACGGAGCAACGAAAACCUGUCUACGAUGAUAGACCUGGGUUGAUAUGGAUGUCAAGUUAAUACCUAUGCUAGUAUUGGAACUAAUUUU